UGGGGAAUUUUCCGCAAUGGGCGAAAGCCUGACGGAGCAAUACCGCGUGAGGGAGGAAGGCUCUUGGGUUGUAAACCUCUUUUCUCAGGGAAGAAUCCUGACGGUACCUGAGGAAUCAGCAUCGGCUAACUCCGUGCCAGCAGCCGCGGUAAUACGGAGGGUGCAAGCGUUGUCCGGAUUUAUUGGGUUUAAAGGGUACGUAGGCGGGCUGUUAAGUCUGGGGUGAAAGGCUAGCGCUUAACGUUGGCAUUGCCCUGGAUACUGGCAGUCUUGAGUGCCGUAGAGGUAGGCGGAAUUCAUGGUGUAGCGGUGAAAUGCAUAGAUACCAUGAGGAACACCGAUAGGGGAGCCAGCUUACUGUAGGGCAACUGACGCUGAGGUACGAAAGCGUGGGGAGCGAACAGGAUUAGAUACCCCCGUAGUCC
rnacentral:rRNA from 1 species